GACAGAGGAGCCAAGCGUUGUCCGGAAUUACUGGGUGUAAAGCGCGUGUAGGCGGCAGGCCAAGUCUGUGGUGAAAUCGCUCGGCUCAACUGGGCGGGGUCCAUGGAAACUGGUCAGCUGGAGGACGGUAGAGGUGAGUGGAAUUCCCGGUGUAGUGGUGAAAUGCGUAGAGAUCGGGAGGAACACCCGUGGCGAAGGCGGCUCACUGGGCCGGUCCUGACGCUGAGACGCGAAAGCGUGGGGAGCGAACAGG
rnacentral:rRNA from 1 species